rnacentral:lncRNA from 1 species
CUGACUGGAGACUGGAGGACAGGGCAGAAGGAGAAAAGCCAAGAUGCUUCUGUUCCCUUUUCUUACUUGUGUUGGAUGGUGUCCUCCCCAUUGCUCCCCAGCAGCCCCAGCUGCUGAAAGCCUGACCUCCUCAGAAAUGUCAGCCAGAAAAAUCCACACUCUUCAUAAUCCUACAAUUUCCCACUAAUCAGAUGUCUAGACAAGAACGGUCUCUGCCCCCUUUCCUGUUUGCAAAUCUGCCUCGACAAGUUAUUCAGCCAAUCUUCUCACCAGCUGUACAACACCCCCUUCAUCUGGAUGUGCACGUGGAGUGAUUCAUUUAGCCAGACCCCUGCCGAUGGGCAAUUAGGGGGUUUUUCACUCCCUUUCCUUUGAUCACUCUGGCCCUUCCCCCUUCCUUUCCUUCAUUGCAGCUAAGUGGGAGAGGCCUUCAUGAGUCUCUUCAUGAGGGCGUUGAUACAGAUCCUCGUGUCUUCUAAAAUGAUCAGGGCCAAAGUUAUUUACAGAAGUGACCGGGCAGCUUCUAGCAGAGGGUUCAAUUUCCAGCCUACUGCCCGUACUAUCCAUAAGAGAGGAAUUCAGAGCACCUGGGUCUUGCCAGACUUACAAAAGUUUAUCAAGUUUUAAAAUGUCUUUAAAAUAUCUUCAGAUUAUUUUUCAGAAGCCAUGUCACGAAGAUAUAGAAUCGAUGUGUAUAUAAUUGUAAAUUACAUACAGAUUAUAAUCUGCAGGUGUAUUUGCAUACCGACCUUGUUUUUCCAGUCUUUGGGAAGUCAAAGAACAAGUCAUUAUACUUGCACAGCCACUUAUCUCAGUUUUUGAUUUUUUUAAGUUGCUUUAAAAGAGCACUUAAUUUUAGUACUGCAAUAAUGAUGGCUCUGGAAAAUAGUCUCCCUCCACACCCAACAGGCUUUGAAAUACAGGAAUUUCAGGUAUAAAUAACAAUUGGCAUGUUACAGUAUUGUCCAAAGAUUCAAUAACAAGUCAUGAAAAAAAAAUGUUAUGUCUCGAUUUCUUUCUAGAACAGGAAACAUCUUUUUUUUUUUUCUGAAAGCUAAGCCCUGAAGCAAAAUUUUGAAUGUUGGUAAAUUUGUCUGAAAUAAUCAAAAGGUCAUCUGGGAGGUAGCUCUGUAACAAUCAAAGGUCAAGGUUUUUGGCCAGAUGGGUCUGCAUCUGAACCCCAGCUGGCUGGGCUGCUCCAUCAUUUUUUAUGUGGAACCUGGGCUAUGGGAGCCCCAGAAACCUCAGCGACCUCAUUUUUGAAAUGGGACUAAGGUCUACCAUGAAGAUCAAGUGAGGACUGAAAAGCACUGUGAAUGGGCCUGGCCCGUAACAACAUCCUGUGUUCAUCACUCAAAGUACCUGACGUUACUCUGUUUCUAAGCCCUUGGAAGCACGUGGAUGAGAGAAAAGAGACUGGCUGCCUUGCUUGUUUCCUUUUUAAUUCUGUCUUAGUAGAAUGGGAGUGAGGGAGCCAGUCCCCGACCUCACAAAGGGCCAGUGUCUGUGGGCUCGGUGAUGUCUGGCAGGCCCAUUAGUCUGAAAUGGGACCCUGCCAAGUUUUCAUAUGGUUUUCAUAUCACCAGGCUUGUUUUGACUUCUGCGAGCUUUCUUGCCACAAUCCCUCUAGAAGCAAGGAAGUGCAGGUGAUAUGAAGCAAGGCUGCCUGCGCAGAGGCAACCAACGGUACAAAGACAGAAACACCUCCAGGGCCUUGCGGAAUCCCUGAGAACUGUCUUCCCCAGUGACUGUCUUCCCCACUGACUGUCUCCUCACUCCCCUUCCAAGUCUCCCAGCCUCUGGCAUGCGUCGGCCUCUGAAGGACUCUGUCCGGUCUGCUCUUUCUUCCCAGAGGAGGAUGGGCAGUAGAAUUGGCAGACGAACAAAAGCCAUUAGCAGCGUCUGGUCUGGCGGAGGCACAGCAUUUGGGGCAGUCCUGGGCUCCACCGGUCCGACGUGGGCUGGGCUGUCCAUCAGCUGCCUUUUGACAAUUGCACCCCAGGUCCCUUCCAGCUUGGGCAACUGGUUGUCCAGAAAUAAAGUUGGGUUAAAUUAGGCUCUUCCUAGGUGCUAUGUAAAUGGAGUGGGCUCUUGAUGUCGCUUGUGGGUCCUUUGUGGCAACAAUAAUAAUGAUAAUAACUAAUUCACAAAUAUUUAUUGAGCUCCAACUAUAUGCCUGGCAUUGUACAAGUCCUGAACAAAACAAAUAAAAACAGCCAAGGCUUGCUGUAUUGACACUGUUGCAAAGAACUUUUCAGGUAUUAUUUUAAUUAAUCUGCUCAUUAUCCUUGUGAAAUGGGUAUUGCAAUUACUCUUCUUCUUCAGAUGAGGAAACUGAGUCUCAGAAAGAUUAAGCAACUUGCCCCAAAUAACAUCACUAGAAAGGGGGCCACAGGUAAGGUGGUGGGCAGGAAAAUGAAGCCAGGACCCUGACAACAUUGUGCAGCUUUUGUGACUGUCUACCAG